AGGCAUUUCAUUUCUCACAUGUCUGGACAAAGCUGUAGCUACAAUGACCACAUCACUGCAGUCCAGUUCCUGGAGCUCAAACCUUCAUCAUCUAUGGACCUGGACCAGCGCAUAUUUGGAAACAGAUCCAUAAUUUUCAGCAAUGGAUGGUCUUAACUUCUCAGAAUUAUUCAGGAACCUCGGAGGAUCACUAAUAGAGAAAAGUGAAGACUAAGAUGUAAUUUUAGUCUGCGAAAGGUUUGAAAUGACGUAAACUGCAUACAAUCCAAGGAGUGGAAAUUCUGGAUGACAACUCAAAAUGUUUGUAAAGUGUAUGCAGCAUGACAUUUCUCUAUGCAGCAUUUAAAACAGUCAAAAAAGCUAAACAUCAGUUCCAACUGAAAUCAAGAGGCCCUAAAUGUGGGUUUUACUAUUAUUUUCUAUGUAGAAGAAAACUACUUGAUGUAAUGCAAAUGUAAGAAAUGUGUUAUAGGUUCAUGUAGAAGUGGCUGCAUGAUGUCUAAAUGAAUCUAAUAAUAAUUUAUUUUGUAAAGAAGCAAUAAUGAUUGAAUCGGAUGUUCUUUUGUUGCCUCUAUGGGUCUGUGGACAUCUGACAGACAUAUUAACUUCAGUGUGCAUUGGUAUCUAUUUGCUUUUGUAAUAAAACAAUUUACAAUAUAAUAUUUAAGUUACUUUUUUUUUAUAAUACAGUUACUAUGUUUUCCCAUUUACUCUGACAGCUCUCCUGAGACGGUCCCCAUACUGAGAGUUGAGUGCGCUGUGAAAACAGGAUGGUUACUGUAGUUAAAUGUGAACGUGCAUUUAUAUCUCACUUGCACAAAAACAAUAAAAACAUUUAAAUGCAAUCUCA